rnacentral:rRNA from 1 species
GACGAACGCUGGCGGCGUGCUUAACACAUGCAAGUCGAACGGAAAGACCCUGCUUUUGUGGGGUGCUCGAGUGGCGAACGGGUGAGUAACACGUGAGUAACCUGCCCUUGACUGUGGGAUAACUUCAGGAAACUGGGGCUAAUACCGGAUAGGAGCUCCUGCUGCAUGGUGGGGGUUGGAAAGUUUCGGCGGUUGGGGAUGGACUUGCGGCUUAUCAGCUUGUUGGUGGGGUAGUGGCUUACCAAGGCUUUGACGGGUAGCCGGCCUGAGAGGGUGACCGGCCACAUUGGGCCUGCGAUACGGCCCAGACUCCUACGGGGGGCAGCAGUGGGGAAUCUUGCACAAUGGGCGGAAGCCUGAUGCGGCAACGCCGCGUGCGGGAUGACGGCCUUCGGGUUGUAAACCGCUUUCGCCUGUGACGAAGCGUGAGUGACGGUAAUGGGUAAAGAAGCACCGGCUAACUACGUG